GGAGAGUUGUCCGAGUUGGCCGAAGGAGCACGCCUGGAAAGUGUGUAGGCGCAACAAGCGUCUCGAGGGUUCGAAUCCCUCACUCUCCG
rnacentral:tRNA from 1 species